GUAAUAUUCAAUCUGUGUGAAUCUAUUGAAUAUCAACCCCUAACCUAUAUUCCAUAACACAAAACUCCGCCAUCUUAAUUUUUCAACAGACACUUCACUAUUGACUUUUACUCUUUCAUUGACCUUUUUCAUAUAAACGACUGUAAUUCCUAUCUCUCUGACUAUCUAUCUUGAAAUUUUCAAAUAUUCAUUAAUUCAUUUAUUAAUUCGAUAUAAUUUAGAAGCCAGCAAAGACAUGCAGCUCCUAAUCUUAACGCCGAGUUCCCAAACAGCACUUCAUAGAUAAAUAAGUAAAAUAAAUAACUACUUAACAAAACCGCGCAUAAAUUUCCCGCGGAUUCAAUCGAAAUAUACAGCAGCGUAUAUGUACGUCGUCCGGAUUCAACCAAAAUAUACAGAACGUAUAUAUACGUUGGCCGGACUCAAAGGACUAGGAAACAGCGUAAACAGUGAAACCGUUUGUUCGCAUCGUGCUAAGGAAGAGCCACUGUUUACAUUUCUACGUAUACAAAUGCUUCCAAAACGUUAUUGGCAACGAGAAAUUUGAAAAAUCCAGGGAUAUCCUGAUUAUCGCGUAAUGAACUAAAUUAGAAUAUUUGAUAAGAGCUAUAUAAUAAAAUUUAAUUGAAUUGUAAAGUAUUAUAAAUGCUAUUGGUACAAUUACAUAUAACCAUAUUGUUAUACUAUACAUAACUAUACUACAUGAUUGCUUUUAAACAAAAUCUACUACCAACCAAUUAUUCAAUUGAAUAACUGACCCCUUAUAAUAUUUCUGUCCAUAAUAAAAAGAAACGACGUAAUUACGAAAGGUUCAACCUUCAAUUGCACGCUUCAAAGCCUACAACGCCAUCAUACCCAAUAAAUUACUCAAACACAGCCUACAGUUCAACACCCAACCUAAACGCCAAUCAUUCCCAUAAAUACAUUCCUAACAUAUCUAACCUUUACAUUCUACCUACACUAUCUGGCAAACGUCGUUUUAUAUAUUUGCGUUUAUCAACUAAUAUCGAUUAUCGUCGACUAAACGAGAACUUUCGCUGCUACCGAAUAUUCACCUGACAAACGAAAACGCUUUCUACGCGUUACAAAUAAGUCGCGUGAGCGCGUUUCGUUAGGCACGCGCACGAAUUCAAAACAGACUGGAAUGGUAACGUAUAGUUAGUACCGCGAAAGUAUUUGGUCGAUCGUAGAGAUGUUUUAUUAAUAUUUAUUAAUAUAAUAAUUCAUUAUUAUAUAAUUAAAUUAUUAUUAUAUUAUUAACGAUUAUUAUAUAUUUACGACCAUUACAUUCGCGCUGUGAAAUAAUUCUUUACCAAGUAUAUGUUUGCGUUUUUCAAAAUCUACGAUAUACAGAAACGAGGAAAUAUUUACCAUAAGCUUCACAGAAAUUACUAAAGUAUUUAAACAUUCAAUUGUUCGCUAUCUCGGUACUACCCAAACAAUACUUAGUGAGACUAUCAUUAACACUAAUUAUAUGCUCAAGGCUACCAUUCGUGCGGUAUAUUAACAUUCUAUGAAAUUUAUAUUUCUAGUAAAUAUCUUCUAACUUCUAUAUAAAUUGUCAGAUCGGUUUCAAAUUUGACCAGUAUAAUCGGGGCAGACGUAUCCCGUUACAAUGAAAUUUCGAAAUGUAUUAUGUAACACGUACACAAUAUACGCAUACAUCAACGUGUCUUAUCGCAAGUGUUGAAAUUACUUUCGUCGACUACUGUAUAUGUGCGAGCGACAAAGUAAAUCUGUAUUCAUAGAGCACAACAGGACGACGAAAGGCGAUUCAAUAGACCAGCCACGGACGAGUCGAACAAAUCGAACGGAGGAUGCUUUAUAUAGCGAAAGAACGUGUAUAUCGCGUAUUGCGUCUUCGAAUGGACAGUCCUCGGACGGAAACCGCGUCGCGUUGAUUUAUAAUGCGAUACCUAUUGACGGCUGUCCAUGGAAAACAAGGUGCGUGUGUAAGGCCUUACACAUAUACACGUAAAUGAAUGUGUCUGUAUGCAAGGUUAUUGUGCGAAGUAUACAGUUGAAAUCUGGAGUAAAAUAACCAGACGUCUAUAAUGCCGCUGUCCACAAGGGACUCAAAGGAGAGAUGGAGUUACUUGACUUAUUCCGAAAUUGGAUAUCGGUAAAAAAGUAGCGAAAAGAAGCAAUCGACGGAAGCCAAUUUAUCGUUGAUCGAAGUCGAUCUACGUCAGAAAUAACAAACGAAAUAGCGAAAAAAGGAUUUGAGUAACCGCAAUGUGGAUAACCUAUUGGAAGUAAAACUUGCAGCGAAGAAAAAGUGGAAAAGCAAAAAGACUGCAAGAUAAAGUCGUGACGAAUGGAAGAAAGGUCUGGUACAUCGACAAUGAUCAUGUUACUACGUCGGAAAUUCUGUCUUCAAUUGAAGAUAACAUCUACUACUGCCUACGAUCGUGCGCCUGCUGGUCUUGGAAAGGGACUCGGUUUACGAUAAAUCGUUAUUCUUAGUUGCCUUGCUCUCUCAACGGUACAUCCUUCCAAUUAUAAAUGUAUAUAUUAAUGCGUGUAUAAUAUAAUAUGAAUUGUCAAGUUACAAUUUACGUAAUAU